rnacentral:rRNA from 1 species
GGAGGGAGCUAGCGUUGUUCGGAAUCACUGGGCGUAAAGGGCGCGUAGGCGGCCGAGUAAGUCGUGUGUGAAAGACCGGGGCUCAACUCCGUGUACUGCAUGCGAUACUGCCCGGCUAGAGAAAGGUAGAGGCGAGUGGAAUUCCCGGUGUAGCGGUGGAAUGCGUAGAUAUCGGGAAGAACACCUGUGGCGAAGGCGGCUCGCUGGGCCUUUUCUGACGCUGAAGUGCGAAAGCGUGGGGAGCAAACAGGAUUAGAUACCCUGGUAGUCCACGCCGUAAACGAUGGGCACUAGGCGUUGGGAGGAUUGACCCUCUCAGUGCCGUAGCUAACGCGUUAAGUGCCCCCGCCUGGGGAUACGGCCGCAAGGCUG